rnacentral:rRNA from 1 species
UAGGCGUAAAUGAUGCGAGUUAAGUGUGGGGCAUCUACGAGAUGGCCCUGUGCUGUAGGGUAGCCGUUAAACUCGCUGCCUGGGGAGUACGGUCGCAAGGCUGAAACUUAAGGAUUGGCGGGGGAGCACCACAAGAGGUGGAGGCUGCGGUUCAAUUGGACUCAACGCCGGAAAACUCAUCGGGAGCGACAGCAGUAUGAUUGCCAGGUUGAUGACCUUGCUUGACAAGCUGAGAGGAGGUGCAUGGCGUAGUCGUGU